GCCAGGAUAUCCUAGUGGUACGGAGGCGGUCUCGAAAACCGCUGGCUUAUGCCUCCGGGGUUCAAAUCCCCGUCCUGGCUCCA
rnacentral:tRNA from 2 species